UUUCUUGAAAGCACACAAAUAAUAAUAAAAAAAUAGACGGGAGGAAAGAAACAAGAAAAAGGAAUGGAGCAGACAGCCUCAGCGGGGCCAAACAGCUGACAGCGACACUGUCUCUCUUUGUCCUCCGUCUUUCUCUCUCUUGCUCUCGGCUCUCCGCCUAAAAAGCAAGCAAGCAAGCCAGCCAGCCAGCCAAAGAAGAGAGGGAGGGGCUAUAAUUGUGUGUGUGUGUUUUUUUUUUUUUCAGUUAGGGUUUCUGAAUGAGGGAAGGGGUCUCUUUUUUUUAUCUCUGCUUCCCAUCCCCCACCAGCCCAAACGUUGUCGGUGAUUCGGACCCAUGGAGGUGUUCCGGGCCCCCAUGGCCAUGGGCCCCUUCUCCUCCUCCUCCUUAUCCACCUCUCCUUCCAUUGGAAGACGUCGUGCGCGGAGAAGAAGAAGGUAUGAAGGUGAUUUGAGCUGCAACAAUCAUGCAUUCUUGCGUUGAUCGCUAGAUUCUCUUGUCCUUGAUACUGAAAGUGGAUAUAUGGCAUUCGGCAAGGACAUGUUUAAUUUGGAGAAUUAGGGAAUGAAGCCAUUGGUCCGGGAGCAUAUGCAUAUAUUUUUGUAUAAUAAUAUUGACAUAUCCAGUGAAUGAUUGAGGCAAUUUUAUAUAUAUUUAAUUUCAAUUUCAGUUAAAUGACUAAUUCGGUGCA